rnacentral:misc_RNA from 1 species
UAAUAAGUGUUUUAUGGCACUUUUUAAAUCCAUAUCCACCUUGUGUGCAAUGUCAGUCGAUCUUCUUCAUGGAGAUCGACCAAACAUCAACCUUAUUUUUUAACUCUUUGUCUGAAAAAAUAUUAUGAAUAAACAAUUCAAAAUA